GGCUGAAGGCGGUCCCAAGGGUUGGGCUGUUCGCCCAUUAAAGCGGCACGCGAGCUGGGUUCAGAGCGUCGUGAGACAGCUCGGUCUCUAUCCGCCGUGGGCGCAGGACAAUUGAGGGGCGCCGCUCCUAGUACGAGAGGACCGGAGUGGACGGACCACUGGUGUGCCGGUUGUAUCGCCAGAUGCAUCGCCGGGUAGCCAUGUCCGGACGGGAUAAGCGCUGAAAGCAUAUAAGCGCGAAGCCCUCCCCAAGAUUAGUUGUCCCGCCCUUCUUAGGAAGGGGUAAGAUCCCACGUAGACUACGUGGUAGAUAGGCCACAGGUGUAAGGGCAGCAAUGUCCUCAGCUGAGUGGUACUAAUGGAUCGAGGGCUUGACCCAC
rnacentral:rRNA from 1 species